UAAUGGGUGAUGGCGUGCCUUUUGUAGAAUGAACCGGCGAGUUACGAUUUGAUGCAAGGUUAAGCAGUAAAUGUGGAGCCGUAGCGAAAGCGAGUCUGAAUAGGGCGUUUAGUAUUUGGUCGUAGACCCGAAACCAGGUGAUCUACCCUUGGUCAGGUUGAAGUUCAGGUAACACUGAAUGGAGGACCGAACCGACUUACGUUGAAAAGUGAGCGGAUGAACUGAGGGUAGCGGAGAAAUUCCAAUCGAACCUGGAGAUAGCUGGUUCUCUCCGAAAUAGCUUUAGGGCUAGCCUCAAGUGAUGAUUAUUGGAGGUAGAGCACUGUUUGGACGAGGGGCCCCUCUCGGGUUACCGAAUUCAGACAA
rnacentral:rRNA from 1 species